rnacentral:tRNA from 1 species
GGUAACAUCGCCAAAUGGAUAAGGCUAAGGAUUGCAAAUCCUUUAUUUCUCAGUUCAAAUCUGAGUGUUUCCU